AGUGAACGCUGGCGGUAGGCCUAACACAUGCAAGUCGAACGGCAGCACAGUAAGAGCUUGCUCUUACGGGUGGCGAGUGGCGGACGGGUGAGGAAUACAUCGGAAUCUACUUUUUCGUGGGGGAUAACGUAGGGAAACUUACUCUAAUACCGCAUACGACCUACGGGUGAAAGCAGGGGAUCUUCGGACCUUGCGCGAUUGAAUGAGCCGAUGUCGGAUUAGCUAGUUGGCGGGGUAAAGGCCCACCAAGGCGACGAUCCGUAGCUGGUCUGAGAGGAUGAUCAGCCACACUGGAACUGAGACACGGUCCAGACUCCUACGGGAGGCAGCAGUGGGGAAUAUUGGACAAUGGGCGCAAGCCUGAUCCAGCCAUACCGCGUGGGUGAAGAAGGCGUUCGGGUUGUAAAGCCCUUUUGUUGGGAAAGAAAAGCAGCAGGUUAAUACCACGCUGUUCUGACGGUACCCAAAGAAUAAGCACCGGCUAACUUCGUG
rnacentral:rRNA from 1 species